rnacentral:rRNA from 1 species
AUUGAACGCUGGCGGCAGGCUUAACACAUGCAAGUCGAACGAGCGGCGGACAGGUGAGUAAUGUCUGGGAAACUGCCUGAUGGAGGGGGAUAACUACUGGAAACGGUAGCUAAUACCGCAUACCAUCGGAUGUGCCCAGAUGGGAUUAGCUAGUAGGUGGGGUAACGGCUCACCUAGGCGACGAUCCCUAGCUGGUCUGAGAGGAUGACCAGCCACACUGGAACUGAGACACGGUCCAGACUCCUACGGGAGGCAGCAGUGGGGAAUAUUGCACAAUGGGCGCAAGCCUGAUGCAGCCAUGCCGCGUGUGUGAAGAAGGCCUUCGGGUUGUAAAGCACUUUCAGCGAGGAGGCGUUACUCACAGAAUAAGCACCGGCUAACUCCGUGCCAGCAGCCGCGGUAAUUC